GCUGGCGGCGUGCCUAACACAUGCAAGUCGAACGGUAACAGUCCUUCGGGAGCUGACGAGUGGCGCACGGGUGAGUAACGCGUGGAUAUCUGCCUAUUAGUGGGGGACAACUACAGGAAACUGUAGCUAAUACCGCAUAAUCUCUACGGAGGAAAGCAGGGGACCUUUCGGGGCCUUGCGCUGAUAGAUGAGUCCGCGUCUGAUUAGCUAGUUGGUAAGGUAAUGGCUUACCAAGGCGAUGAUCAGUAUCUGGUUUGAGAGGAUGAUCAGACACACUGGAACUGAGACACGGUCCAGACUCCUACGGGAGGCAGCAGUGGGGAAUAUUGCACAAUGGGGGAAACCCUGAUGCAGCGACGCCGCGUGCGGGAAGAAGGCCUUCGGGUUGUAAACCGCUUUCAAUUGGGAAGAAGAGAUGAGCGCUAAUAUCGCUCUGAUUUGACGGUACCUUUAGAAGAAGCACCGGCUAAUUUCGUGCCAGCAGCCGCGGUAAUACGAAAGGUGCAAGCGUUGUUCGGAUUUACUGGGCGUAAAGAGAUCGUAGGUGGUUUAUUAAGUCGGAUGUGAAAUCCCGGGGCUCAACCCCGGAACUGCAUCCGAUACUGAUAGGCUAGAGUUUGGGAGGGGUAAGCGGAAUUCCGUGUGUAGCAGUGAAAUGCGUAGAUAUACGGAGGAACACCUGAGGCGAAGGCGGCUUACUGGACCAAUACUGACACUGAGGAUCGAAAGCGUGGGUAGCAAACAGGAUUAGAUACCCUGGUAGUCCACGCCCUAAACGAUGUCAACUAGCCGUUGCGGGUAUCGACCCCUGCAGUGGCGAAGCUAACGCGAUAAGUUGACCGCCUGGGGAGUACGGUCGCAAGAU
rnacentral:rRNA from 1 species